AUGUUUGUGAUGGUCAGUGAUCCAGUCGUCUCCUGCUUCAGUUUGUUCAUGAAUCUCUCAUCAGGACCGUCAUGUGUCUUCAUCUCUCUGUUCUCUCCUUUGAUUUCAGCGAUGAGAGUCUCUCCAGCUCCAAACAGCCACUGUAUCUCAUCUCCUCUCUGUAUUUCAGUUUCAGGGUUUAGAGUGAUAUUAUUGUACAAUGAGGUUGAUAUAUUAAAAGGAAAGUUCUUUCUCAUAAUUUGAGCCCUUUAAUGUUGCAUUAUCUUAUUUACAGACAGCUGAUAAACAAUCAUUACUUUAAAACACUUGAAUACUCACCAUUGACAGUAACAGUGAAUCUCUUGAAUGAAGUCUGUUUGUUGUUGCUGCUGAUCUUCGCUGUAUAAAGUCCAGUGUCUGUGGUUCUGGUGUUUGUGAUGGUCAGAGAUCCAGUCUGAUCCAGCUUCAGUCUGUCUCUGAAUCUCUCUUCAGUUUCAUUAUAUAAUGAUGAGCUCUUGGUCUCUAUAUCAGCUUUAGCUAUGAGUUUUCCUUCAUCUCCAAACCUCCACACUAUCAGCUCAUCUCCGAUUAGUUCAGUAACAUCAGUAUGAAGAGUGACAGGAUCUCCCUCCAUCACUGACUCGGUCUUAAUCUCAAAUUCAACAGCAUCAACAGAUGGAGACUCUACAAGAAACAGAAUCACAAAUAAAGGUUAAAGAUUGAACACUGUUACCAGCACUAAAUGUUUCACUGUUUAAUAGUUUGUUUAUGGUUACAGCAUACGGCAGAUGCAGAUAAAUAAAGAAAAAAAAAAAAAAAAAACAUGUUUGAUAUGUACAACAAUAUCAAGUUACAAUUCAGUUAUUUUCAAUCAUAUUUCUUAAAACAGCACAGGAACACUUCAAUGUUUGUAUUACACAAUUGACAGAAUGAAAUUUCAUAGAUCUACAAUAGUUUAUCCUGCAUUGGUCUGUUCUGGAACUACUGUAAAUAGUGGAAAGAAACUGAACAAAAUAUCUGGCCAUAUCGUGUAUGAAAUGCAAGUAAUUUGAUAAGUAUUUUGUCCUAGUAAAAAGAGUUAUUACUCUUGACAUCAAGCUUUUAUUCUGAUUAUAAGUCAUGUGAUCACCUGCAGACCAAUCAAAGCUGUGAUGAUAUUCUGAACAUCAGCAUGGAAAUUGGCAAUUGCGAAUA
rnacentral:lncRNA from 1 species